rnacentral:rRNA from 1 species
AUGAACGCUUGCGGCGUGCCUAAUACAUGCCAGUCGAGCGAACAGAUCAGGAGCUUGCUCCUUUGCAGUUAGCGGCGGACGGGUGAGUAACACGUGGGUAACCUACCUAUAAGUCUGGGAUAACUUCGGGAAACCGGAGCUAAUACCGGAUAACAUUUAGAACCGCAUGGUUCUAAAGUGAAAGAUGGUUUUGCUAUCACUUAUAGAUGGACCCGCGCCGUAUUAGCUAGUUGGUAAGGUAACGGCUUACCAAGGCGACGAUACGUAGCCGACCUGAGAGGCUGAUCGGCCACACUGGAACUGAAACACGGUCCAGACGCCUACGAGAGGCAGCAGUAGGGAAUCUUCCGCAGUGGGCGAAAGCCUGGCGGAGCAACGCCGCGUGAGUGAUGAAGGGGUUCGGCUCGUAAAACUCUGUUAUUAGGGAAAAACAAAUGUGUAAGUAACUGUGCACAUCUUGACGGUACCUAAUCAGAAAGCCACGGCUAACUACGUG